UGGUACCAUCUGCACGCUCCCCAUGCUACAAAUGGAUGAAAACCUUGUAAACCACCAGCCGUUGUAACUGAAAUGAAGUAACACUUUCUCCUUGUAGGCCUUCACCACAGAAAGUUGGUUUUUAAUGAGUACCAGUGACACUGCCUGAAGAGUUUUCUAGAAGAAAGGUGAUCCUCCUGAAGCUAACCAUCCUCAUUCAGUUCACAACAGACUCCCAACACCCUUCAAGAUCUAGACAAAGGUUUGAAUCAGCCACUGAAAUGAGUCACAGGUCACUUCUGCUCUGAAGUCACCUGCACAAGUCCUGAGUUCAUUCCUUCAGGAAGACAAAGAUUUAGGAGGGCAACGAUACUUAUUCACCAAACAACAUUUGCAAAUACGUGCUCUCGGGGUGUACUAGAUACCACCAUAGCAGAGUAGAAAUAGAGCCUGCAUCCAACCACAGAGCCUGCAGCAUUAUGCAAUAUCCUUCAGUUAGUCCUCUGAAGUUUCCAAGCAUGGAAUAAUGUGGCUUUUCAGACCAAGAUGGGCUCUGGAGGGGAGGAAAACCCACAUGGAACCCUCAAUAAAAACUAUUAUAAACCCUUCAUCACAGAAGGACACAGAAGAGAACCAGUUAAACCAUAGCUAGAAAUAUGUUACAAAAGACAUUUAAUACAGGUGCCACAGAAGGUAUGCCAUUGCUUUUCAACCAAAUAAUUUGUAACGCUUGGGUUAAAAGCUAAGAUUCUCUCAGAUGGACAGUGACUAGCUGUACUUGAAGCAGGUUGGAAAUAAAAAACAGGGCCUAAAAGUGUUAGCCGGAUAAACUGAUUUAGUCUAAGCAGCAAAUACUAAGGACUGAGACUAAAGUAUUAUUCUCUAAUAAAGUAAACUAAAGUAAA